rnacentral:rRNA from 1 species
UACGAAGGGGGCUAGCGUUGUUCGGAUUUACUGGGCGUAAAGCGCACGUAGGCGGAUAGUUAAGUCAGGGGUGAAAUCCUGGAGCUCAACUCCAGAACUGCCUUUGAUACUGGGUAUCUCGAGUCCGGAAGAGGUGAGUGGAACUCCUAGUGUAGAGGUGGAAUUCGUAGAUAUUAGGAAGAACACCAGUGGCGAAGGCGGCUCCCUGGUCCGGUACUGACGCUGAGGUGCGAAAGCGUGGGGAGCAAACAGG